GGCGAAACAGUAGCGCAAGCGGCUGUGGAGUGUAUAGAAGUGAGAAUGCCGGAAUGAGUAGCGCGAAUGCAGUGAGAAUCUGCAUGGCCGAAAGCCUCAGGUUUUUGGAGGAAGGUUCGUCCGCUCCAAGUUAGUCGGGAGCUAAGGUGAGGCCGAGAGGCGUAGCCGAUGCACAGACGGUAGAGAUUCCGUCACCACCAAAAGAGUUAAGCACAGGGACACAUAUGAAGUCUCAGAGCCGGGUGUUGGUUCCGGUAGAGAUCGAGGGAAGUUAGUACCGAAGUCUGGGAUGGAAGAUGGCGAGAAAAGCUGUGUGGAUUUCUGAGGUGCCCGUACCGCAAACCGACACAGGUAGGUAGGAAGAAGAUUCUAAGGCCAACGGGAGAAGGGUUGUUAAGGAACUCGGCAAAUUGACCCCGUAACUUCGGGAGAAGGGGUGCUCCAGAGAUGGAGCCGCAGAGAAUCGGCCCAAGCAACUGUUUACCAAAAACACAGGUUUGUGCUAAAUCGAAAGAUGACGUAUACGAGCUGACGCCUGCCCGGUGCUGGAAGGUUAAGAGGAGAUGUGCAAGCAUUGAAUCGAAGCCCCAGUGAACGGCGGCCGUAACGAUAACGGUCCUAAGGUAGCGAAAUUCCUUGUCAGGUAAGUUCUGACCCGCAUGAAAGGCGUAAUGAUUUGGGCACUGUCUCAACAGCCCGCCCGGCGAAAUUGUAGUACCGGUGAAGAUGCCGGUUACCCGCGACAAGACGGAAAGACCCCAUGGAGCUUUACUGUAGCCUAAUAUUGGGUUUCGAUGUUGCAUGCACAGGAUAGAUGGGACUCUGGGAAACCAGUGCUUUGGCGCUGGCGGAGAGGCCGUUGGGAUACCAUCCUUGCGAUAUUGGAAUUCUAACCUGCGGCUCUGAAUCGAGUCGGGGGACAUUGUUAGGUGGGCAGUUUGACUGGGGCGGUCGCCUCCUAAAAAGUAACGGAGGCGUUCAAAGGUUCGCUCAGCUUGAACGGAAAUCAAGCAAAAGAGUGCAAACGCAGAAGCGAGCCUAACUGCGAGACUGACGGGUCGAGCAGUAACGAAAGUUGGAGUUAGUGAUCCGGUGGUAUGUGAGUGGAAAUGCCAUCGCUCAACGGAUAAAAGUUACCCUGGGGAUAACAGGCUGAUCUCCCCCAAGAGUCCACAUCGACGGGGAGGUUUGGCACCUCGAUGUCGGCCCAUCGCAUCCUGGGGCUGUAUUCGGUCCCAAGGGUUUGGCUGUUCGCCAAUUAAAGCGGUACGCGAGCUGGGUUCAGAACGUCGUGAGACAGUUCGGUCCCUAUCUGUCGUGGGCGCAGGAUAUUUGAUGGGAGCUGUCCCUAGUACGAGAGGACCGGGACGGACGUACCUCUGGCGCACCAGUUGUUCUGCCAAGAGCAUAGCUGGGCAACUACGUACGGAUCGGAUAAACGCUGAAAGCAUCUAAGCGUGAAGCCGACCCAAAGAUAAGAUAUCCCACUGCUUCAAACAGGUAAGAUCCCUUGAAGACUACAAGGUUGAUAGGCACGAUGUGUAAGUGGAGUGAUCCAUUCAGCAAGCGUGUACUAAUAGAUCGAGGGCUUGACC
rnacentral:rRNA from 1 species